rnacentral:rRNA from 1 species
UACGUAGGGUGCAAGCGUUAAUCGGAAUUACUGGGCGUAAAGCGUGCGCAGGCGGCUUUGCAAGACAGAUGUGAAAUCCCCGGGCUUAACCUGGGAACUGCAUUUGUGACUGCAUGGCUGGAGUGUGGCAGAGGGGGAUGGAAUUCCGCGUGUAGCAGUGAAAUGCGUAGAUAUGCGGAGGAACACCGAUGGCGAAGGCAAUCCCCUGGGCAUGCACUGACGCUCAUGCACGAAAGCGUGGGGAGCAAACAGG